rnacentral:misc_RNA from 1 species
AGUUACGAUGUAUCCGGAUACGUCGCUCGAUGCUCUGACAGUUAGUGGAAAUAUUUUCUUUGCUUCGGUUUAGUACGGAUAGACGUCGUUUCGAGUGUCGCGCGCGUCCACUUCGAUGAAACGUUGCCGGUGAAAAAUUGAAAAGCAACACGUUGUGGUCGAGCUUCGUGAAAAUAGUGGACAAAGAGGGGACGAUUGGCUAAUGACGAAAACGAUCAAGGAGAAGAACAAGACGGUGUGUUGAAAUAAUUUAAAACACGAAUUCUAAUCUUCUGCUAAGAAAGGAAAUGCAGAUCUAUGGAAAGGUCAUUAAGUUGAUAUCGACUUUAAUAACUCUGAUACGAUUAUUCUUUCGGUUUUAUUUAAUGAUAAAACGAUACACGAAAUACGUAUGUACGUAUAUGUCUGUACAAAGAGCUAUUGAAAGGGCUUGACGAAAUAUAUCAUUUUAUGCAUAAUGAACGACGGAAACGGAUCUGCUGAAACUGAACAAAC